rnacentral:rRNA from 1 species
GUGAGGAAUUUUCCGCAAUGUGCGAAAGCCUGACGGAGCAAUGCCGCGUGAAGGAUGAAGGCCUAUGGGUUGUAAACUUCUUUUCUCAGAAAAGAAUUAUGACGGUAUCUGAGGAAUAAGCAUCGGCUAACUCUGUGCCAGCAGCCGCGGUAAGACAGAGGAUGCAAGCGUUAUCCGGAAUGAUUGGGCGUAAAGCGUCUGUAGGUUGUUUAAAAAGUAUUCUGUCAAAGAUUAGGGCUUAACCCUAGAUAGGCAGAAUAAACUUUUAAGCUAGAGUUUGGUAGAGGCAGAGGGAAUUCCCGGUGGAGCGGUGAAAUGCGUAGAUAUCGGGAGGAACACCAAAGGCGAAGGCACUCUGCUGGGCCAAUACUAACACUGAGAGACGAAAGCGAGGGGAGCAAAUGGGAUUAGAUACCCCAGUAGUCC